UGGGGAAUAUUGGACAAUGGGCGCAAGCCUGAUCCAGCAAUACCGCGUGAGUGAAGAAGGUCUUCGGAUUGUAAAGCUCUUUCGACGGGGACGAUGAUGACGGUACCCGUAGAAGAAGCCCCGGCUAACUUCGUGCCAGCAGCCGCGGUAAUACGAAGGGGGCUAGCGUUGCUCGGAAUGACUGGGCGUAAAGGGCGCGUAGGCGGUUCGUACAGUCAGACGUGAAAUUCCCGGGCUCAACCUGGGGGCUGCGUUUGAUACGUACGGGCUUGAGUUCGGAAGAGGGUCGUGGAAUUCCCAGUGUAGCGGUGAAAUGCGUAGAUAUCGGGAGGAACACCUGUGGCGAAGGCGGCCACCUGGUUGGAUACUGACGCUGAGACGCGAAAGCGUGGGGAGCAAACAGGAUUAGAUACCCUUGUAGUCCCUGAGCGGGCUGGCAAGGCGCAU
rnacentral:rRNA from 1 species